ACCAGGGAAGAAAGUGAUUUUGCUGCUGCUAUCGAUAGUGGAUGAUCAACAGAGCCGAAAGAAGAGAUUUUACACAAAUUAUACAGGAACAAUUCAAUUUCCUCUACAUGAAAAAAAACCUAUAGUUUGAAUUUUGAUUUGUUGUUUUUGAGAAAAAUCAAAAUAGUAAUUCAGGUGCAAUUCAAUUUCCCCUACAGGAUGAAAAAUAUCCGUAUUUUGAAUUUUUGUUUUCGAGAAAAACCCAAAAUUUACUAUCUGGGUUUGUAAGUCUUCUGGCUUUGUUUGUUGCAGGGCUGCUGAGAUUGGUUAUAGGAAACAGCGAAAACACUUGCAAAGCCAAUUGCUGGCGUUUGGAAGAAUCAGAAACACUAAAUCUAAAAGUUCAGGAUGGUCUCAAGUGAUGAUGGAUUGAUCUUCUCACAUUUCGCUAAGUUGUUGCUGUAACUGUAAGUUUGAUAGGUUUUUGGUGAAGUAUUGCAAUGAGAACAAACCAAGUUUGCUGCCAUCAAUGUGGGGAUGAAUCAAUGAGAUUAAUGGUUGUGUUUGAGAAUUUGUGAAUGUUAAGAAAUGUGGAUUGUGUACGAAUUCGUCUUUUCAAGGAAGAAGAACAAAUAAGGAACAACAAGAGUAUCUACAUUGUCUUCCCAAUCAACAGCUCGAAAUGCAUAUAACCUGUUUGUUUAAACGCCUGAACGACCAGAUUAGCUGCAGCUUUUGGUUUUCACUGAACGAAGCUGUUACUGGAAGUUAACCAUGAAAAUCUCCACGGCGAGAAAGCAAGAUAGAUUUUUCUGAAAUUAUCUUCCCGCAAUCAAACAAAGGUGCUGGAGUCACGGAUAUUUGUAGGAACUUACAAUGAGAAGACACUUUAUACUUUAUUAGACUACGUUGAGAGCGAGUGAAGCAUGAGUUUAUUGUUGCUGUUGAUUUUACAGUCGGGCAUUCAUGGAUAGCAGUUCGUUGUUCUCAUCUCUGUCCACAAAAAGUUCUCAUCUCCGUCCACAAAAAAUAUCAGCUAUUUUAUCGAUUUGAACUUCAAAUUGCUUUUUUGAUAAUGAGCAGAAGAAAAAGGAAAAAGAUUGUAUCAUUUGUGACAUUAUUCGUGGAGAUUCCAAUGCGUGCUAGUUGUUGAAGCUGCAAGACAAACAGAUAGAGCUGCUCCAGUGGUGUUUGUUGCUGGAAUGUUGAUCACUGCGCUUCGCUACUAAAGUAAGAACGAAUAAGGUAUUAAACUAUUAAUUCAGUAAUAAUUUGCUGUGCAUUAAAAUAUUUAUGCAUUGUACUCUUAUUUUUCUUAAGAGAAUUAAUUCUCACAAUUAAAACAUCACACAACAUACAGUAGAUUCAAUUUCCAACCGUAAGGCAUGAAUAACUCUAAAUUUGCGAGGAUAUAAUUCAAGAAUAUAGCAAGCUUCUUGAUGUGCUACCAUCGAGAUGCUAUUUGGUAGUAAUUGCAAGGAUAUAAUUCAAGAAUUAGGUUUUCAUUCACUAUUUGGUAGUAACGCUACAAGUUUUUGCAAAUUCGGAUAUCAAAAUGUAUAAUAGUGGGAAGAAACGGCAUCUUCAAUGGAAAAGCUUCCUCUAAUGCUUGCAUGCUCUAUUUUUUCUUUUAAUACAAAGCAAUAGUACUCUUUCUUUCUGACUAAGUGAGCGCAUAAUCGUUUUUCAGUUGACUUUUGUUGACAUUAAAUUUGGGUCCAUUAAUAAAUUUUGGUUUUCAUUCAUCUUCAGCUUCUUUGAUGAACCUGUUGUUGAGGAAGAUAUAAUAAUAAAUACUAACUCGCGGGGUAGAUUUUUUUUGCUUGAUUCUGUAUCGCUGAUUUUCCAGUGAGAAUAAAUUCAGUAAAUUGAAAGUCUCUAUGACCAUCAAUUUAUGGAGUCGAGCAUUUAUCAGUUAACAAUUGUUAUGCACAAUAUAUUAACCUGUGGAAGAUCACUCACUCACUAAUUAGGAAAAGAGAUGAUGAACACAACAAUAGUGGUGUUCUACUCCAGUGAGCACAAAAAUUUUGUGGUCCGUCCAGAUUCUUCUCAAGCUUCUUUAUGGGAACAUGCAAUUAAGGUACAAAGCAUGAUCAGUUACCAAUGGUUUGUUGUGGCCCCUAUUUAUCCAUGUUAAUUACUAAACAAAUCUUUAGUGCCUUCUUAGCUAAUGCAUUUUUAUUUAAUUUCGCUCCUACUUUCUUUCUCCUUUUCAAUCUUAGGUCACAAUGAACAAGCCCCAAACAAAAAUCCAGGAAGAUUUUUCAAGAAACUCAACCCAGUUUAAAACUCCAAGUUCUUUCUCACUUAAAUGAUACAGAGUGGCUUUUGUGGGGUAUCAACGCCGGUAGACUUCCACUACCAAUGUGGCUUUUGUGGAUUUAUUCUGAAGCCACUGAAGCUGAUCCUAAGACUUGGCCUCGCAGGUAUAUACAUUAGGAUUUGUAUAUCCUUUUAUAUACAAACCAAAUUAAAUAUUAUCUUGGUGAUAUGUGUUCUGUGGUACCCCCGAAAAUGAGUGCCUGGUGUGCGGUUUUGAACUUAGGUGUUAGACUUGCUUUAAUCCCAAAGACCAGAUUCUAGACAAAUGACAUGCUCCCAAAGGCAAGACACCAGACUGCAACUUCAAACUUCAUUCAGAUUUGUUUUCUCUUCUGUUUCCCCGAUAUUGUUUUACCUGCAACCUUUAUUUAAGUUAGUUAUCACUUGGUUCUAAUGAACAUCUGUAGAGAACAAUAGAUGUUCUCAAGGUGUUUGUAUCAGGAAUUUAGAUCUUACAUACAAGACCAUUAUGUACCUCCCUGGGUUUUGUUUGAGGACAACAAUCUUCUCAAGGGAAGUCUAAAAAGUUAAUGUUAAUGAUACAUAUUGCAAUUAACCGAAUUUGUGGUGUGGUGAUCAUUUUAGGUGUUUGUUAUUCUGUUUUAAUCUCAUGGCUGUAGUAGUGUGAAACUACAGGGUGCAGGUAUGUGUUGUACUCCAUGAGGUUGUGGGUUCAACUCCCAUAGACAGUGACUGAAUCAAUACUACAAUGUUGGUAUCCGGGAACACGCUCUGUGGUGUACACAUUAAAAGAAGUUCGUUACGCCCGGUGCGUAGCACGGGCACAAAAUCUAGUUUCUAAUUUAUUGGGUGACAUUCCAUUAGGAAGUUCCCAAUUGAAGCAAUGCAUUAUUUGUGCAAACAUCAGUUGGACCAAGGUACUGUACGUCUAUGUAGGGUGUAAUGCUACUUAAGUACACUCUAUAUUACAGAAGAGUAUAAUAAUGGAACUUAAUUCAAGUCCACUAGUACCAGCUUUGCGGAACUGACCAAUAACUAAUGUUGCGCUUCUUUCGGAUCCAAAUCCAUGUGAAGGCUCGUGCGAUAACAGGCCUAGCCAGCUAAGUGCAAACUUUCUCUAUAUAGUAUAAUGCAUGGUGGUAUAUGAUAGUGAACUACAUAUUCAUUUCAACAAAAUCACUUCAUUAACAAGAUCAGAUGGAGAUCCGAAAGAAUGUAAUGAGUGUUCUAUUUGUAUCUAUUAUUAUUUUUUCGAUUUUCUUUAACUCUGUUGAUUCAUCAGGAGCAUGUAGACCUGUCCAUGAAUUCUGUGGCACGAUCUACUGCUGUGAUGAUUUAGUGUGCAAUGGUUAUCCACAGAGAUGUGAGCCAUGUAUUAAAGUCGGAGAACCUUGUGGAAUCCUCCACCAUUGUUGUUCUGGGUUAAGGUGUGAUGGUUGGUUUUGGGGAACCUGUCUUAAUGUGUAAGUUGCAUGCUAGGGUGAUGAUUAAGUAUCGUGGUUUUAUUUUAUGUUGA